rfam:Blastomyces gilchristii SLH14081 genomic scaffold supercont1.18, whole genome shotgun sequence.
UCCUCGAUGGUCUAGUGGUGAUGAUUUCCGCUUGUCAUUAAUAAACAAUGUCGAGCGCGGGAGACCAGGGUUCGAUUCCCUGUCGGGGAG